AACGGGAGCUACUGGACGCUGUUUACAACCCUCAGCUUCGGCUACACAGAGCAGCGAUUAAAGAAGACGAGCCGGAGCCCCCCCCACACAUUAAAGAGGAAGAGGAGGAACUGUUCCCAUUCACCCCUGUCCCCGUGAAGAGUAGAGAUGAUGAAGAGAAAGAUGUUGAGCAGCUGUUGGUGGUUAAAGAAGAGGUUCCCCCUGAGCAGCA